rnacentral:rRNA from 1 species
ACCAGACUCCUACGGGAGGCAGCAGUGGGGAAUAUUGCACAAUGGGGGAAACCCUGAUGCAGCGACGCCGCGUGAGUGAAGAAGUAUUUCGGUAUGUAAAGCUCUAUCAGCAGGGAAGAUAAUGACGGUACCUGACUAAGAAGCCCCGGCUAACUACGUGCCAGCAGCCGCGGUAAUACGUAGGGGGCAAGCGUUAUCCGGAUUUACUGGGUGUAAAGGGUGCGCAGGUGGCAGGGCAAGUCAGAUGUGAAAGCCCGGGGCUCAACCCCCGGACUGCUCUGGAAACUGUACGGCUGGAGUGCAGGAGAGGUAAGUGGAAUUCCUAGUGUAGCGGUGAAAUGCGUAGAUAUUAGGAGGAACACCAGUGGCGAAGGCGGCUUACUGGACUGUAACUGACGUUGAGGCUCGAAAGCGUGGGGAGCAAACAGGAUUAGAUACCCUGUA